AUCCGAAGACGUGAUGUGGAGCGAAUUAGAGUAGCGAAGCGUGUGAGCCAUGUGCCGAGAAAAGCCGCUAUAGUUUCAUGUGUGCCCGUACCGUAAACCGACACAGGUGGAUGAGGAGAGAAUCCUAAGGCCGGCGGAAGAAGCAUUGUUAAGGAACUCGGCAAAAUGACCCCGUAACUUCGGGAGAAGGGGUGCCUGCUAACGCAGGCCGCAGAGAAUAGGCUCAAGCAACUGUUUAGCAAAAACACAGGUCUACGCGAAACCGAAAGGUGAAGUAUAUGGGCUGACGCCUGCCCGGUGCUGGAAGGUUAAGAGGAGAGGUUAGCGUAAGCGAAGCUUUGAAUUUAAGCCCCAGUAAACGGCGGCCGUAACGAUAACGGUCCUAAGGUAGCGAAAUUCCUUGUCGGGUAAGUUCCGACCCGCACGAAAGGCGUAAUGAUUUGAGCACUGUCUCGACAAUGCAUCCGGUGAAAUUGAAGUACCAGUGAAGAUGCUGGUUACCCGCGCCAGGACGGAAAGACCCCAUGGAGCUUUACUCCAGUUUGGUACUGGGAUUCGGUACUGCAUGUACAGGAUAGGUGGGAGACUAAGAACUUGGGACGCCAGUUUCAAGGGAGUCGCUGUUGGGAUACCACCCUUGCAGUAUUGGAUUUCUAACCAGCCGCCGUGAUCCGGCGGUGGGACAAUGCCAGGCGGGGAGUUUGACUGGGGCGGUCGCCUCCGAAAGGGUAUCGGAGGCGCUCAAAGGUUCCCUCAGAAUGGUUGGAAACCAUUUGAAGAGUGCAAAGGCAGAAGGGAGCUUGACUGCGACACCGACGGGUGGAGCAGGUAGGAAACUAGGACUUAGUGAUCCGGUGGCAUAAAGUGGGAUUGCCAUCGCUCAACGGAUAAAAGCUACCCUGGGAUAACAGGCUUAUCACUCCCAAGAGUUCACAUCGACGGAGUGGUUUGGCACCUCGAUGUCGGCUCAUCGCAUCCUGGGGCUGUAGCAGGUCCCAAGGGUUGGGCUGUUCGCCCAUUAAAGCGGUACGCGAGCUGGGUUCAGAACGUCGUGAGACAGUUCGGUCCCUAUCCGGCGCGGGCGGAGGAUAUUUGAGAGGAGCUGUCCUUAGUACGAGAGGACCGGGAUGGACGGACCACUGGUGUAUCUGCUGUCGACCAACGGCAUGGCAGAGUAGCCAAGUCCGGAAGGGAUAAACGCUGAAGGCAUCUAAGCGUGAAGCCCCCCUCAAGAUGAGAUAUCCCUCACAUAAGUGAGUAAGAUCCCUUGAAGACUACAAGGUAGAUAGGGCAGAGGUGGAAGCACGGUAACGUGUGGAGCUGACUGUUACUAAUCGAUCGAGGGCUUGACCAG
rnacentral:rRNA from 1 species